rnacentral:rRNA from 1 species
GACGUAGGGGGCCAGCGUUGUUCGGAAUUACUGGGUGUAAAGGGUUCGUAGGCGGUGUGGCAAGUCGGGAGUGAAAUCUCUGGGCUCAACCCAGAGUCUGCUUCCGAAACUGCUGUGCUUGAGUGUGGGAGAGGCGCGUGGAAUUGCAGGUGUAGCGGUGAAAUGCGUAGAUAUCUGCAGGAACACCCGUGGCGAAAGCGGCGCGCUGGACCACUACUGACGCUGAGGCGCGAAAGCGUGGGGAGCGAACAGG